UACGUAGGGGGCAAGCGUUGUCCGGAAUCAUUGGGCGUAAAGAGCGCGUAGGCGGCUCGAUAAGUCUGCUGUGAAAGUCCAGGGCUCAACCCUGGAAGGCUGGUGGAAACUGUCGGGCUAGAGUCCGGAAGAGGCGAGUGGAAUUCCCGGUGUAGCGGUGAAAUGCGCAGAUAUCGGGAGGAACACCAAUGGCGAAGGCAGCUCGCUGGGACGGUACUGACGCUGAGACGCGAAAGCGUGGGGAGCAAACAGG
rnacentral:rRNA from 1 species